rnacentral:rRNA from 1 species
AACACGUAGGUGAUCUGCCCCUAUCACAGACAUAACGUCGGGAAACCGGCGCUAAUAUCUGAUGAGGUCGAGAGAUCAAAGCCUUUGGGCGGAUAGGGAUGAGCCUGCGUCUGAUUAGCUAGUUGGUGAGGUAACGGCUCACCAAGGCCACGAUCAGUAGCUGGUCUGAGAGGACGAACAGCCACACUGGAACUGAGACACGGUCCAGACUCCUACGGGAGGCAGCAGUGAGGAAUAUUGGUCAAUGGGAGCAAUCCUGAACCAGCAAUGCCGCGUGUGGGAUGACGGGGCUCAGCCCUGUAAACCACUGUCGGACGGGACGAAAGGAGCCUUCAGGGCUCUGGGACGGUACCGUCAAAGGAAGGGUCGGCUAACUACGUGCCAGCAGCCGCGGUAAUACGUAGGACCCGAGCGUUGUCCGGAAUUACUGGGUAUAAAGGGUGCGCAGGCGGCCGUGUGCGUCAGAGGUGAAAUCUCCGGGCUUAACCCGGAGGGUGCCUUUGAUACGGCAUGGCUUGAGUCCGAGAGAGGGUGAUGGAAUUCCUGGUGUAGCAGUGAAAUGCGUAGAUAUCAGGAGGAACACCGGUGGCGAAGGCGGUCACCUGGCUCGGCACUGACGCUUAGGCACGAAAGC